rnacentral:lncRNA from 1 species
AGAGGCCGUACAGCGCCCAUAUGCACCCCCACAGCCAUGUUAGGGACAGGAGGAGAACCUCGCCCUAACAUGAGCAAGGUCGAAGGCUCGGUUACAUUUAGACCAGAUAGGGGGAGAGGCCCUACAAUGCCCAUAUGUGCCCCCACAGCCAUGUUAGAAACAGGAGGAGAACCUCGUCCUAACAUGAGCAAAGUCGAAGGCCCG